rnacentral:lncRNA from 1 species
AUGUGCAAUUUUUUAGAAGGAAAAAAAUACCCCCGAAAUUGAAAUCGAAAUCAACAUCAAAAGGUCACACAAAUCAAAUUAUAAAUUAUAUUAUAUAAUAAUAUAAUAUAAUAUAAUAUAAUAUAUAUAAAUAAUAAUAUAAUCUAUUAAAUCUCUAAUGUUGUGAACAGUGUUUUCCUCUCAUGUGGCAAUGCCCAUUGGCUGUGGUUUUAGUUCAUCUUCCGAUAUUGAUAUUGUCUAAAUAGAUUUUCAUUUGACAUUUUCACGUGAUUAAGUCUCUGGCGUAAUGGUUGGCCAAUUAUGAAUCUAUAUCUCCAGCGCCUGUUCGAAUCUCAAUAGUUCUUUUUCUUAUUCCUCUUUUUGAAGUCAGGGCACCUUCUGGAUAGGGUUUUUUGUUCAUUUUUUGAUUUGUGUAAAAAGCAGAGAAAACCCCUUCUCCAUUGCUGAAAUUCCGGCGGGGAUGACAGUAGACAACGACGCUCCGACGUCAAGACUUGCUAACUGCCUCUGUGUAUAUCUUUCCUUCAUUUUAGCGGCGCGGUGCCAUAUGUUUCUUACUUGGAUUUGAGCUGGUGAAAGGCAGUUGGUUAGGGUUAGUAAAGGGUGUCGAUGGUCGAUUACGGAUGGAAGGGGGCUUGGCUCGACGUUGUCGUUGGUGGUUUUGCGGCGGAUAACUCUGGCAGCAGAUGGGUAGUGUCGUUCUUAGAAUGAGUCGAGCGUAGUGUUUAUCGGUUGUGUUGUGGUAAUUUGGUUUUGGAGACGAUUUUUUAGAUGAUUUCUAAAUAUUUGUUGGAUAAAGUUGUAUAACUAUUCAAGUUUUGAUAUCGUAUUCUGCAUUUGGUGAUUCUUAUGCCAGCUCCGAUUAGGGUUUCUAUAUGUGUUUCUUGCACGGUCAAUCUAUACCAGAGACAAGAAAUCUUCUUUAUUAACAUCUCCAUUUGUCUUCUUAUUAGGGUUUCUAUGGGGUAAUUCAAUAGUCCUGGUGAACACUAAUAUCUGGUGCAAUAUCUUGGUGGCAGCUAAAGUAUUUCCGGUUGUGAAGAAUCAACAUCUACUGCUUUGUACUCUCUUAAUCGGCAACUCUUUAGCGAUGGAGGUCUGUGCAACUGGUUGCAAUUACUUCAUAACAUUUUUCAUUGCUCUUUGCGUGGAGAAUCGUAUGCUGCUGUUGUUUAAUUUCUUUGAUUUUUCUGUGUGUGUUUCUUUUUAAUUGUUUGUGAAUUUGAAUUUUGUUGUUAUUUAACUCAAUGGCUGCUACUUCAGAAGCUAUCUUUCAAGUGUUAUGUAGUGCAGGGCCUAGCAUAUCUCAUACGCGUUUAUGCCCAAACAAGUAUAAGUUUUUGGAUUCGACUAAUGAUGGUUUGGAUUUUAGAAGUAAAGGGUCCGGUAUAAAAAUAUAUAGACGUAAAAGUUGCCGUCUAUAAAGGAUGUUUGUUAUUCUGUAUUUGGUUGACUGUUGUUGAUUAAUCACAGGAUACUGAGCACAAUCAAGUCAAUCGAUUCCCGCAAACGCCUGGUGAAGCCAAGAAGAGCAAUAAUGAAGUUCAACAAAAGGGAGAUAAUAACCCGAAUUCGGUUGCUAAUAAAUUAAGUGGGAAACGCCUGGUGAAACCAAAAAGAACAAUCUGAUGUACCAAAGGAAGAAUACAUCCAGGUAGAGUGUAGGAUUGGAUCUUUGCUUCUGGGCAUACUACUUUCAGAACGUCUCUUCAGCAUCAUGUACUCUGUCUACUUAUUACUAAUCAAGUUAGGUUUCGCGCUGCUAUAGUUUCUUAGACUAUCCGCAUCAGUGAAAGGCUAUCCUUUCUACAAACAGCCUAAUCAGCAUGCCCCAUCAGCUUUUCACUUAUUCUUCUCACAAACACUUUUUACCCACAACAAUAACAUAUAUAUCCCUCCCACAAACAACCUUAUUAUAAUUAUUUUAUUAAAUUUAAACUAAACAAAAAAAAGAAAGGAUCCACCAUUCCCCCAUUCUUCCCCAAGAAUCUUUAAGAAUGAAUACCCUCCAUGUCAUCCUCUACAACAUCCAUUAAUCCAUCCCUCUCACAAAUACCCUCCACAUAGGCCAAGAAUCACCUACAAACAUCCUUGAUGUGGAUAGUCUUAG